ensembl:ncRNA lncRNA:CR44233 long non-coding RNA:CR44233
AUAUUAAUGCCAUCGCCCAGCUGAGUACAACGUGCUUGGUGCUCGAAUGGGGAAUUCCGGAAUAAUUAAAUUCAUUUAUGCGAGAUCCCAAGCGUAGCACCAACUUUGGCCAUAAAAACCCGAAAAUAGCCAUAAUAAUGAUAAUGAUAUCAAUAACAAUGCGAAUUACGGGGCAAUAGUUGAGCGGUCGCUUCAUAAAAACCAGAUGUUAAUAUUUUUCCAUUUUCACAUCGAUGUACAAAUAAACACCGCAAAACACAGCACACAAAAAAUAAAAAAGAAAAUGGGGUG